rnacentral:rRNA from 1 species
GAUGAACGCUGGCGGCGUGCCUAACACAUGCAAGUCGAACGACAAAGGCGGAAUACUUGUAUUCCACCCGAGUAGUGGCGGACGGGUGAGUAACGCGUAGGCAACCUACCGUAUACACUGGGAUACCAUGUGGAAACGCAUGUUAAUACCGGAUGAGCUUGUUUAAUCGCAUGAUUGGACAAGGAAAGAUUUAUCGGUAUACGAUGGGCCUGCGGCUGAUUAGCUAGUUGGUAGGGUAAAGGCCUACCAAGGCGACGAUCAGUAGCCGACCUGAGAGGGUGAACGGCCACACUGGGACUGAGACACGGCCCAGACUCCUACGGGAGGCAGCAGUGGGGAAUAUUGCACAAUGGGCGCAAGCCUGAUGCAGCAACGCCGCGUGAAGGAAGAAGGGUUUCGGUCCGUAAACUUCUUUAGGUUGGGAAAAAACGAUGAUGGUACCAACAGAAUAAGCACCGGCUAACUACGUGCCAGCAGCCGCGGUAAUACGUAGGGUGCAAGCGUUAUCCGGAAUUACUGGGUGUAAAGGGUGAGUAGGCGGUUAAAUAAGCCAUAAGUGAAAGCGUUGGGCUCAACCCAAUCAAGCUUAAGGAACUGUAUAACUAGAGUAUGGGAGAGGCAAGUGGAAUUCCUAGUGUAGCGGUGAAAUGCGUAGAUAUUAGGAGGAACACCGGUGGCGAAGGCGACUUGCUGGACCAAGACUGACGCUGAGUCACGAAAGCGUGG